AGUAACACGUGGGUUACCUGCCUCGAUGACCGGGACAACCCGAGGAAACUCGGGCUAAUACCGGAUGUGCCCUUUGGCCACAAGGCCACUGGGGAAAGGAAGCUUCGGCCUCCGCAUCAGGAUGGGCCCGCGGCCCAUUAGCUUGUUGGUGAGGUAACGGCUCACCAAGGCAACGAUGGGUAGCUGGUCUGAGAGGACGAUCAGCCACACUGGGACUGAGACACGGCCCAG
rnacentral:rRNA from 1 species